UACGAAGGGGGCUAGCGUUGCUCGGAAUCACUGGGCGUAAAGCGCACGUAGGCGGCUUGUUAAGUCAGGGGUGAAAUCCUGGAGCUCAACUCCAGAACUGCCUUUGAUACUGGCGAGCUUGAGUUCGGGAGAGGUGAGUGGAACUGCGAGUGUAGAGGUGAAAUUCGUAGAUAUUCGCAAGAACACCGGUGGCGAAGGCGGUUCUCUGGGCCUGACCUGACGCUGAGGAGCGAAAGCGUGGGGAGCGAACAGG
rnacentral:rRNA from 1 species